rnacentral:rRNA from 1 species
AUGGUCAUGUACUUUCCUUCCUCAAGCACUCCUCCUCCUCGGCGUCCUCCUCCCCUGGCGUCGACCACCCCAGCCAGGAGUACGUCGAGCGCGGCCUCCCCCAAUGAGGAGUUCUACAUCGGGCAGUGGCGCGUCGGCGUGCCGCACGGCGCUGGGAUGUACCUGUGGACGAACGGGUGGAUGUACGCGGUGGAGUGGCGGCACGGCAAGGCCACAGCCGGGGCAAGUUCUCCUGGCCAUCGGGCCGGGCGUCACCUUAGAGGGCGAGUUCAAGGACGGCUUCUAGGAUGGCGACGACACCUACACCGGCGCCGCCGGGGACAGUUAAGGGCUCCUGGUCCAUGA